rnacentral:tRNA from 1 species
GCCUGGGUGGCUCAGUCGGUUGAGUGUCUGACUUCGGCUCAGGUCAUGAUCUCGCAGUUUGUGAGUUCGAGCCCCGUGUCAGGCU